CCUCGCAGGAUUCGGGAACAGUUGGAACGACUGCUAAUACCGGAUGUGCCUAAGGGUGAAAGGCUUGCUGCCUGAAGAAGAGCUUGCGUCCGAUUAGCUAGUUGGUGAGGUAAAGGCUUACCAAGGCAUCGAUCGGUAGCUGGUCUGAGAGGAUGACCAGCCACACUGGGACUGAGACAAGGCCCAUACUCCUACGGGAGGCAGCAGUGGGGAAUUUUCCGCAAUGGGCGAAAGCCUGACGGAGCAAUACCGCGUGAGGGAAGAAGGCUCUUGGGUUGUAAACCUCUUUUCUCAGGGAAUAAAAAAAUGAAGGUACCUGAGGAAUAAGCAUCGGCUAACUCCGUGCCAGCAGCCGCGGUAAUACGGAGGAUGCAAGCGUUAUCCGGAAUGAUUGGGCGUAAAGCGUCCGCAGGUGGUACAACAAGUCUAGUGUCAAAGACCGGGGCUCAACCCCGGAAAGGCGGUAGAAACUGUUGAACUAGAGGGUCGUAGGGGUAGAGGGAAUUCCCAGUGUAGCGGUGAAAUGCGUAGAGAUUGGGAAGAACAUCGGUGGCGAAGGCGCUCUACUGGACGGCAACUGACACUCAAGGACGAAAGCUAGGGGAGCGAAUGGGAUUAGAUACCCCUGUAUUCACACGCGU
rnacentral:rRNA from 1 species